rnacentral:rRNA from 1 species
AAAUAAAUGUAAUCAUAAAUAUUAGAGGAGUAUUAGUUAUGUUCUUAAAAUUUAAUAAAUUUGGCGGUAUUUUUUCUUAUCAGAGGAACUUGUUUUAUAAUUGAUAAUCCUCAUUAAAUCUUACUUAAUUUUUUAAAAUUUGUAUACCGUCGUCAUCAGAAUAUCUAAAAAAGGAAAUAAUUUUCUAAUAUUUGAAAUUUAAAUUAUGUCAGAUCAAGGUGCAGUUUAUGAUUAAGAAAAAAUUAGUUACAAUAAAAUUAUUUAUAGGUGGAUUUUUUAUUGAAAUAUUGGAAUGAAAUUGGAUUUGAAAGUAAAUUAAUAGAUUAAAAUUAAUUGAUUAAGUUCAAAAAUAUGC